AUGGCCGCCGCCGGGAGCACAGGCAGGAGAACUCCUGGAAUAACUGCAGCUGCUGAGGGCUGAGAGGGCGCCAACCCACUUCCAAGUGUGCCCGAGGGGUCUGUGGAGCACCUCCAGCGCACGCUGUCCCUGUUUUGAAAGGAGGGGCACCAAAAGAAACAUUUGCCCUGGGCACCACAAGGUCUCGAACCAGCCCUGAUGCCAUGUAGUGCGAGAUGCCUGGUGUGAGUGAGCUGACAGGUCCUGUGAAACUCUAAAAGAAAAAAUUGGAGAAAAAAAACUUAUCCGGCGCAUUUCAUCACUUCCUGGGUCUGAUAGACUUCAUAGAUUUUCACCAUUUAAAGAGAAAAGAAAACCAAGAUUCAGUGAUCCCUUGAAACACGCUCCCUUGGCGCAGUA